rnacentral:rRNA from 1 species
AGUCUGCAACCCGACUACAUGAAGCUGGAAUCGCUAGUAAUCGCAGAUCAGAAUGCUGCGGUGAAUACGUUCCCGGGUCUUGUACACACCGCCCGUCACACCAUGGGAGUCGGAAAUGCCCGAAGCCAGUGACCCAACCUUAAGGAGGGAGCUGUCGAAGGUGGAGCCGAUAACUGGGGUGAAGUCGUAACAAGGUACC